UACAGAGGUCUCAAGCGUUGUUCGGAAUCACUGGGCGUAAAGGGAGCGUAGGCGGGUUUCUAAGUCAGGUGUUUAUACCGGGCCCGCAACCCCGGACAGGCACUUGAAACUGGGAAUCUUGAAUAGUGGAGAGGUCAGUGGAAUUGGGGGUGUAGCGGUGGAAUGCGUAGAGAUCCCCAAGAACACCAGUUGCCGAAGGCG
rnacentral:rRNA from 1 species